rnacentral:lncRNA from 1 species
CCUGUGACGGUCUGGGGCUUACACCUGGAGGGAGUCUACGAGGAGCUCAUGUUAAACAUUUGGGUUCUUCACUCAUGCCAUGAGGAUGUCUACUAGGGUCCAUAUACCCUCCACUAAAGUCUCCCCCUUCAUGGUCUUCAACAAUGAUGACAACUGGAGACAACAGCUGAUGAGAUGAUUGCACACCCAUCUGAGUGACUUGGUCCCGUCCGUCUUUAUUGAGAAGCUCAGGUCACACUUCUUCCUGGUCUUCAACCUUGGAAGGCUUCUGUCUACAUAUGCUAGAGCAUCAGCUUUGAUCUCUUUCCCCAAGUUAUUGGCUCCAAUUUCUGCCUGUGAACACAAUCUGGACUUGGUGUUGCCUCUCCUUUCUUGCAGACUUGCAUCUCCGAAUUUUCUAGCUUGUGGACAUCCCUCUGG